rnacentral:rRNA from 1 species
GACGUAGGGCGCAAGCGUUGUCCGGAUUUAUUGGGCGUAAAGAGCUCGUAGGCGGCUUGUUGCGUCGACCGUGAAAACCCGUGGCUCAACUGCGGGCUUGCGGUCGAUACGGGCAGACUAGAGGUAGGUAGGGGAGAAUGGAAUUCCCGGUGUAGCGGUGAAAUGCGCAGAUAUCGGGAGGAACACCGGUGGCGAAGGCGGUUCUCUGGGCCUUACCUGACGCUGAGGAGCGAAAGCGUGGGGAGCGAACAGG